GUGUUCGCUUUGGCAGCACAUAUAAUAAAAGUCGAGUAAUACAGGAUUAGCAUGGUCCCUGCACAAGGAUGACAUGCAAAUUCACGAAAUAUUCCGUCUUUUU
ensembl:snRNA U6 U6 spliceosomal RNA